GAUGAAGAACGUAGCGAAAUGCGAUAAGUAAUGUGAAUUGCAGAAUUCAGUGAAUCAUCGAAUCUUUGAACGCACCUUGCGCUCCUUGGUAUUCCGAGGAGCAUGCCUGUUUGAGUGUCAUGAAAUUCUCAACCUUUUCAGCUUUCUUUGUUGAUCAGGCUUGGAUGUGGGAGUAUGCGGGCUUCUCAGAAGUCGGCUCUCCUGAAAUGCAUUAGCGGGACCUUUGUUGCCUGGCUUUGGUGUGAUAAUUAUCUACGCAAUUGUAGUCAAGCAGCUUAAAAUGAGGUUUCAGCUUCUAACCGUCUCCCCUGAGACAACUUUUUGACAAUUUGACCUCAAAUCAGGUAGGACUACCCGCUGAACUUAAGCAUAUCAAUAAGCGGAGGA
rnacentral:misc_RNA from 1 species